ensembl:lncRNA
UGUUUGGAUAUGGGGCCCUUGGGAGAUGAUUAGUUCAUGAGGGUGGAGCCUCAUGAGUGGGAUCAGGGCCCUUUUCGAAAAGGCCCCUUCACUCCAUCCACCAUGUGUGGACAUAAUGAAAAGACAGUUGGCCAUAAACCAAAAACCAGGCUCUCACCAGACACCAAAUCUGCCUCGAUCUUGGAUUUUCCAGCCUCCAGAAUUGUGAGAAAUUUCUAUUGUUUCCAAGCUACCUAGCCUAUGGUAAUUUGUUAUAAUAACCUGAACAGACCAAGGCAUGCACCUUAUAUAGUUAACCCUCAUUUUACAGAUGGGAGCAGACUCAGAGAAGUUUAGUGACUUGCCAAAAGUCACACAGGUCAAACAGGGCAGGAUCAGGGAUUAGCCCCAAAUCUGUUUGAUGCCAAAGCCCAUUGUCAAUGCCUCCCCACUGUCUCCAGAUGCAUCCGUGAGAGGAGCAUCUGGAUCCAAGACUGCAGACCUCUCCAUGGGCACCCAGCGCCACUCUCUUGCUUUCUGAAUGUUUUCUCCGUCUUUAAAAAUGUCCCAUGGAGAAGGAAAUGGCAACCUACUCCAGUAUUCUUGUCUGGAGAAUCCUGUGGAUGGCAGAGCCUGGUGGUCUGUUGUCCAUAGGGUCGCACAGAGUUGGACAUGACUGAAGCGACUUAUCAUGCGUGCCUGGGAGAGGGCAAUGGCAACCCACUCCAGUAUUCUUGCCUGGAGAAUCCCAGGGACAGAGGAGUCUGGUGGGCUGCCAUCUAUGGGGUCGCACAGAGUAGGACAUGGCUGAAGCACCUUAGCAGCAGCAGCAGCAGCAAAAAUGUUCCAGACACAGUGAAGUCUGCUCCUCUGCCCUCUGCUUGCUCCUCCGGCUCUCUUGCUCCGAGUUCUUCCUCUCCCUCUUCUGCUCUCCUUGCAGAAACCUUCCUAUCUUUGCCCCUCAUCCUGCCCAUUUCCCUGCCUUCCUCCAGUUUCUCUUGUCUCUCCCCCACCCUACGUCCUCUCCCAGCUCCUCCUCUGCCUUCCGCCUUGCUGGGCCAUGCUCUUCAGACAUCUCAUUAAAGUAAUUGUUGACCUGAAUUCUUCUUCCAGUGCAUCUAUAAUUAUGCACCACAGGAAACCCUGAGGGAUUCAAAACAGACUCUUAAUCUAUUUCACAUGAUUCAAAAACAACUCCCAGGAAAGCAGUUUAAUAGACACGAUUAACAGAAUGCUGCUCGGCCAUCCGUGGGAGAUGUUCCCAACCCAGCACUGCCCGCCUCCCUGGGCUUGGUGCUCAGAGACAUCAAAGGUCCCCUCCAAAUCUAGUAAGGCUUUUAGGGUUUAAUUUAGUUAAUUAACUGGAUGUGAAGACAGCUGGAGAAUUUUGUGAGAAGUGUUCCCCUGUCCUUUCCUUCUCUCCUCUGAGCUCAAGGACCCCGCUGGACCAUUGUUAAGGCCUCGGAUGCUCAGUGUGUCUCCACCAGGUAUAGAGGUCAGUUCUGUCCAUCAGCCCAGGGGCUGUGUGUAUUUGUCAAUGUUGUACUGUGUUACCAGCAAGGCCCGAGAUCCCUACCCCUUUCUCUACAUCCGCUUUCUACCAACCUCAAAUCCUGGUCACCUCUCCUGCUUCUGUGAAAGGCUUCCCCUUGUGGAUGCUGGGAGCUAGCACUGCAGGAAAGCCUCCUUAUCAGAAUGAGUUCCUAUGGAAGAUCCUGUGAAGGGUGCCCCCUGGGCAAGGGACUUGUUCCAGGGCCCACCUGGAAGAGGACUUGGCUGGGUAACCUCUUGGGCAAGUCUCCCCACCCUUGGGCUCUUGACAACACCACUUUUCUAAAACUUUUCUAAACACCACUUUUCUAAAUCUGUCCUUCCAAUGAGACUAGUUCAUUUAUCAUCUGUAACAGUGACUCUGUAAUUUAAAUAUGCGCCAAUGUCCAUCGUCUCCUGGAUGGCUUGUUAAAACAAGUUUCUGGUUCUGAGGCAGAGCCCAAGAAUUUGCAUUUGUAAAGAGCUUCCUGGUGAUGACUGAGCUGUCGGAUACAAGGUCUUUGACCUUGUCAUAUUCUUCCCAUUACCAGCAGCCUGGGUCUUAUAUGGCUAGAAUUUUGAUUUGUGGCAGAAAAUGAGGAAAAGGACUGACCGAGGAACAGCAGGAGUGAAGACAGAAGUCAGAAAAAUGAAGGGCCUGUUGAAAGGAGGGAAUCAACAGUUACUUUGAUUAGGAAACAAUGAUUAUGGAAUCAGCUUUCAAGUAAGCAACAAGAGAAUUAACCACCGAGUUUAAUGCUUUUUCCUUUCUUGAAGUUUUUCUGAUCCCAGUGUGGGUAUCUUAUAUUAAGUUCACUUACCACAGGCAUGGUGCACAGACAGCUGCCUUCUUGGCAAAAGUUUUGUGUGUUCCCACUAUCUUCUGGCUGCCCUCAAACUUUCAUCACCUCAAACACCCCAGUUCCUCUCAUCAAAAGGCUCCUCCUUUUUCCUGUGACCUCAGGACCAGAAGGGGAACGCGGCCAAACUCAAACUGACUCAGUAAGAACGCUUAUUUGAGGUAGCUGCUGGAGAAACUCAAAUCCAAAAGAGGAAUUGGGAAUACGGGGAUAACCGUAACAGGUAGACAGUAAGCCAUUUCUUGGAAUUUUUCAAUACCACCUUUUAGUAGGAUGCCGGCUUACUUAAAGGCACAAAUCUUGUGCCUCUGGGAAACCACAGACUCCAAGGCUCUCAUCAAGAUCUUCUCAAACAUCAUUUCCAGGAAAGAGCCCUGAUUGGGUGAACAUAGAUAAAAGAAUGAUAUAUUCUGUCUGUGAAGAGGCUGUCUCUUUUUCCUAUCAAGAUUGCUUCUGGAAUCUUGCCUAAAAACAUGAGAAGUCACAUUUUUAGGCAAGGGUUGAGAGCAGACUGUUAAAACCUCCCCUUGCUUACACUGCUGUUGGUGACUUACAGACAGGAAAUGAGCAGAGGAGGGU